GAGAUCAGUUAUUGAUUUUAUUGGGUUUUAACCGCCCUUUUAAGGCGAGGGUCGAGCGUUCGAGCCGCUCGCGGCUCACCA
rnacentral:tRNA from 1 species